rnacentral:rRNA from 1 species
UUCCUACGGGGGGCAGCAGUGGGGAAUAUUGGGCAAUGGGCGCAAGCCUGACCCAGCAACGCCGCGUGAAGGAAGAAGGUUUUCGGAUUGUAAACUUCUGUCAUAGGGGACGAAGGAAGUGACGGUACCCUAUGAGGAAGCCCCGGCUAACUACGUGCCAGCAGCCGCGGUAAUACGUAGGGGGCGAGCGUUGUCCGGAAUUACUGGGCGUAAAGGGUGCGUAGGCGGCGAUGCAAGUCCAUUGUGAAAAGCCCGGGCUUAACCUGGGAGGUGCAGUGGAAACUGUAUGGCUUGAGUGCAGGAGAGGAAAGUGGAAUUCCUAGUGUAGCGGUGAAAUGCGUAGAUAUUAGGAGGAACACCAGUGGCGAAGGCGACUUUCUGGACUGUAACUGACGCUGAGGCACGAAAGCGUGGGGAGCAAACAGGAUUAGAUACCCGUGUAGUCAU